rnacentral:rRNA from 1 species
CACGUAGGGUGCGAGCGUUGUCCGGAAUUAUUGGGCGUAAAGAGCUUGUAGGCGGUUUGUCGCGUCUGCUGUGAAAAUCCGGGGCUCAACCCCGGACUUGCAGUGGGUACGGGCAGACUAGAGUGUGGUAGGGGAGACUGGAAUUCCUGGUGUAGCGGUGAAAUGCGCAGAUAUCAGGAGGAACACCGAUGGCGAAGGCAGGUCUCUGGGCCACUACUGACGCUGAGAAGCGAAAGCAUGGGGGAGCGAACAGG